GAUGAACGCUGGCGGCGUGCCUAAUACAUGCAAGUCGAGCGAACAGACGAGGAGCUUGCUCCUCUGACGUUAGCGGCGGACGGGUGAGUAACACGUGGAUAACCUACCUAUAAGACUGGGAUAACUUCGGGAAACCGGAGCUAAUACCGGAUAAUAUAUUGAACCGCAUGGUUCAAUAGUGAAAGACGGUUUUGCUGUCACUUAUAGAUGGAUCCGCGCCGCAUUAGCUAGUUGGUAAGGUAACGGCUUACCAAGGCGACGAUGCGUAGCCGACCUGAGAGGGUGAUCGGCCACACUGGAACUGAGACACGGUCCAGACUCCUACGGGAGGCAGCAGUAGGGAAUCUUCCGCAAUGGGCGAAAGCCUGACGCAGCAACGCCGCGUGAGUGAUGAAGGUCUUCGGAUCGUAAAACUCUGUUAUUAGGGAAGAACAAAUGUGUAAGUAACUAUGCACGUCUUGACGGUACCUAAUCAGAAAGCCACGGCUAACUACGUG
rnacentral:rRNA from 1 species